GUGGAGCGAAGCAGGAUGACCUGCAUGGCGAUCAGUGGGUGUACAAACACACUAUGAGGCGGUGGACCCGUGUGAUCGUGGUGCCACGGCCGCCUUGCCCAGCAGGGCAGAGGCUGGACAUGCUGGGCUCGUGCCGUCCUGUGCUGGGGCCAAGCCACACUGAAGCGCCGCUGCCGGCGGUGCUGCUGUUCAGCGGGCUCGGGUCUGGGCCUGGACCGCUUCAGCCCGCCCCACCGCCGGCUGGCCCGCCUGGUGACCGGCGCGGCGGCGCUGCAUGACGUUGGCAAACGCAGCCGAGUACAGGGCAACAGCCGAGUCCGCCGGCUGGCCCACCUGGUGACCGGCACGGCGGCCCUGCACGACACUGGGAGCUCAACCGUACCCGAGACGGAACCCACCCCGCCGGGCAGUCAGCAGCCACUCACAGGCCGUCAGCGCCCACGCAUGGACAGACGGCUACAACAGCUGGCACGUGUUUUCAUCAAGAACAUGUAUAUACACGUCACGUCUGUCAAACACGCAAACACACCACCGCAGUCCUCCUGAACAGUCGGACAUCAGGAUGGGGCAUACACGCGACUGCGUAGUGGUCGCGUCGGUGGCGUUACCAGCCCUACCAUCGGGAAGAAGCGGCGAUCACCGUUGGACUGCUCGUGAUUGAGUCGCAUCUUACUGAUGCCACUUAAGCAACUAUUCGGUGGCCGAAAUAUAUUUGAUAAAUCAUGCGA